rnacentral:rRNA from 1 species
UGUCCAGACUCCUACGGGAGGCAGCAGUGGGGAAUAUUGCACAAUGGGGGGAACCCUGAUGCAGCGACGCCGCGUGGGUGAAGGAGCACCUCGGUGCGUAAAGCCCUAUCGGCAGGGAAGAAAAGCGAACAGGUUCGCCUGGACGGUACCUGACUAAGAAGCCCCGGCUCACUACGUGCCAGCAGCCGCGGUAAUACGUAGGGGGCAAGCGUUAUCCGGAUUCACUGGGUGUAAAGGGGGCGCAGACGGCGAUGCAAGCCAGGAGUGAAAGCCCGGGGCCCAACCCCGGGACUGCUCUUGGAACUGCGUGGCUGGAGUGCAGGAGGGGCAGGCGGAAUUCCUGGUGUAGCGGUGAAAUGCGUAGAUAUCAGGAGGAACACCGGUGGCGAAGGCGGCCUGCUGGACGACAACUGACGGUGAGGCGCGAAAGCGUGGGGAGCAAACAGGAUUAGAUACCCUGGUAA